rnacentral:lncRNA from 10 species
GGAAAAUAGAGGACAACAACUUCAGCUUGGCCUUGAACCCUGACACGGACAUUUUACUCUCACCUCUGGCGGGAGGGGCGCGGAAGCACCAACCAUGUGCCUAAAGCUAACUGUGUCAAAAAGAGCAUGCUUCGAGGGGCUGGAGUGAGCAAUUCAACUUGUGGAGAAAUAAGAAAUAAUAGUGUUGAGACAAGAAACAUAAAACCGCAGGGUAAGAACUUUUGGAGAAAGAUUUCUUGGGAGGAAGCUAUCCUGAACGCUUAGAGACUUUUCUCAUUUACUGGCACACCAGCUUUAGAGUCCUAGGUCUUCAUCCUGGCUCAGCCACCCUCCAGCUGUGUGAACUUUGAGAAGUUGCUUGACUACACUGAGUCUCGUUGUCACUAUGAGUGGAGGUUGCUACGUUGCUACUGUGUGGAGCACCUACCCCCAAGCACUCUUAUAAGGUG